ensembl:lncRNA
GGGAGAGCCGCCUCUGGACGUCCUACUGCGGCGGCGGGCCCCUGGCGGCCCCCCUGGAGGGCCUCUACCUGGGCCUGCUGGCCCGGCUGGAGAGGGAGCACGGGGGGCAGCUGGUGAGGCGCGUGGGCGCGCUCAUGGCCGUCUCGCGGGGAGGAUGCGAGGAAGAGGAGUUACUAGGCCUUUUGGCCAAAGACAGAAAGGUCCUCCAGGAGAUAGCCUCGUCCCGCUCCUCCACGACCAGCCCUUCCCGGGUGCCCUACAUCCUGUGGGCCCGGCUAAAGCGUGCGCUGGGCCCCCACCUCAGCGAGGUCCGGACGGACGGGACGUGGGUGUACCGCUGGAGUCACUCCGCCCUGGGCCGCGUCUGCGCUGACCGCUACCUCAAGACGGAGGACUCCCGCAAGGCCGCGCACGCCGACUACGCCGAGUACUACGGCGAGAGAACGCGCCACGCCGCCACGUUCCAGCCGCUGGCGUGGCGGCGGGUGGCGGGGCACGAGGAGGAGGAGGAGGAGGAGGAGGGGGAUGAGGGCGAGGGAGAGGGCGUGGCCGAGAGCCAGGUGUUCAACCUGAGGAAGCUCCACGGCCUGCCGUUCCACCUGGUCCGCUCGGGGCAGAUCGUGCCCUUCAUGACGCAGUGCGUGUUCCGCUAUGACUUCCUGCUGCACAAGCUGCAGGGCCUGUCGGUCCUGGACGUGGAGGAGGAGCUGAAGUACGCCGUGCUGCCCGACAAGGUGAUUGCCGAUGUGGAGGUCCUAGCUGGGGCGCUGGCGCUGUCCCGUGCCGUGUUGGAGGAGGACCCCUGUCAACUGGCCUCCCAGAUCAUAGGACGCCUGGGACAAAUACUGGCUGAAGACAAACCAGUGGCCCCAGGUGACCCACUGAAGUUCAGCUACCUCCACGCCCUGCUGAGUCAGUGUGCCCACUCCUCUCUGCCAGUCCUGGUGCCCUCCUACACCUGCCUUCUGCCCCCUGGUGGCCUCACACACCACCUCCUGGCAGGUAAACACCCCCAAGACUGUGGCUGGACGUGAGUUUGAGACGGUUUAAGUGUUAAUAGUUCGACCGUUCUGCCCAAGAACACGGUACGCAAUCCCGUCCAUUGUUUUGUGGUUUAGACACAUCCCCCAGCUUCUAGUCUGAGUAAAUAAGUUGGAGUAUACAAGUCCAUGGAUUCCAUCCAUGUUUUUAUCAACUCCAAACAAAUCUGGAUGAAAAAGUGACUGGGCAAUGAUCAGGGGCCAAAAUCGACACCUAGCCACCAGCCAAUGGCAGUUAAGAUUCAGCCAUGUGGCAUGUAAGAAAUAUCUGGCCGCUGUAUUUUUGCUGGCCCAGUCGAUUUUUCCACCCUGGCAGAUGAAAGACAUUGUGUUUGUUAAUUCUGGACCCUGGGUAUGAUGAGUGAAAUUGGUAUAGCGGACUGCGAAGGAUUUGGCUCCAAUACUUCGGCCCCCCCUGUAGUCACUCCUGCACCCCCCCCAUCACAGGUCACUCGUCCCCCAUCACGGCCCUCGGAGGGGGGCGGGGGGCCUCGGUGGCGGUCUCUUGCGCGGCGGACGGAGACAUCCAUCUGUGGGACCUGGAGAAGAGGGGCGUGGUCAGGACCCUGGGGGGCGCGGCGGCCGACCACCUGACCCUGGGGCUGGACGACAGCGUGCUCGUCGUCUGCGCGGGACAGAGCCUGCAGGUCGACAGUUUAUUCUGAUGUGUUUUUAAAAAGGCGUUGUAGGUACGAUUCUGGAGUUGUGAAGACAGCAAGAGAACAUCGCCAAUUUCGGCUCAUCAAAAAGCUAUGGUUUGGGGGAGUGAUAACUGUUAUAUACACACACACAUUUAUGCUAACUGACACUGUCUUGUGACCAUCCAGGUGAGAGAAAUAGAAACUGGGCGGGUCAUGUACUCCGAGGAGGACUCGGUGGACGUUCCCAUAGUGACCACCACGUGUGAGGGACAGCUGCUGGUGGCGUUCUACGACGGAAGUCGUCUUGUCAAGGUUAUGGUAUCGCCGUCGUAGAUUAUUCAACACCAUAGCUACUACUCCUACAAUGCCUAGUAUUACUACUGCUACUUUAACUCAACCACUACUGCUACUUUAACAUUACCCCUACUGCUACUUUAACAUUACCACUACUGCUACUUUAACAUUACCACUGCUUUACCAUUACCCCUACUGCUACUUUAACAUUACCACUGCUUUACCAUUACCCCUACUGCUACUUUAACAUUACCACUGCUUUACCAUUACCCCUACUGCUACUUUAACAUUACCACUGCUUUACCAUUACUCCUACUGCUACUUUAACAUUACCACUGCUUUACCAUUAC